rnacentral:rRNA from 1 species
GCUCCCCCAAGGAGGGACUUGACCAAGUUAGGUCAUUCUUGGUAAACAGAAAUGGUGAUGCAGCAUGAACAAAAUCUGAGGUUAAGGUGCCAUAAUAUACAAUCCUCAUGUCAUCUAGAGAGCCACGCAGUGGUCAUGGAAGUUGGAAUCCACUAAGGAGUAUGUAAAACCUCAAAAGCAAAAUGAACUAGCCCUGAAAUUGGAUGGUUCUUAAGUGUAUUACCCAUUCCUCACCAUCCUCACCCUAACCCCCCCCCCCACCCAUUGAGGAGUAGGAUGAGAA